AGGCGCGGCGAGGCGGGUGGCGCGCGGCAGCAGGGUUGGGCUCUCGCCGUGAGUCGACGAAGGGAGCGCGGGCGCGCGCCCGCGUCCGCGCACUGAGAGUCGCCUCGGCCGCUCGCUUUCUCGACUCCCGCCUCGCGCCUCGAUCCUGUUCCGCCUCCCUCGGCCCUCCUGCCCGCCCCCACUCGUCGGCCCUCAGGUACCUAAAAUGUCUCAUUAUUCAUCAAUUAAUGAAAAACAAAUGAAAAUUUGAGAGAGAUAUUCUGAAGAAUAAAAGGAUCAAGUUGGGUCAUUUCUAAAAUCUCAGAGACCUAAUAGGAUGGGGUCUUAGAGAAACAUCUUUUGAGCCACAGACUUCUUUGUUACCAGAAGGAAAAUGAAAGAAGAAAUUUAAAUACCACUUGAAGAGAGGUGCUGCCCAGUUCAUGAGUGCUGCUGCUGUCCUGCCCAAGUACCCAGCUUGCAGAGUGCCAGAGUUAGAGUCCCAGGGGUGUUCUCCACAGCUGCAUGCUUGAUCCAGGCCUAUCAGAUAUAUUCCAUUGAAAGUCCUCAUUCUCAAAUUUAAAACAAAGACUUUUUGUGUACCUCAAUAGCAAUGCACACACAGUUGGCUUCACAAACAUAUUGUACAUUUCUUUUUUUCAUAUUUAUUCAACAAAUGUAUAUUGACUACCCACCGUGUGACAGGUGUUAUUUGUUGACGGAACCAGGCAUCAUCAGCAAACAAAACUGACAAAGCUUCCUGCCCUCUGUGGAAGGCAUCUGAGGAAGAGACUGGAUUUUGUAGCAACAUGUUAUUCUCAUUAUAAACUUUAUCAUUGGAAUACUAAAGCCAAAUCAUCCCCCAUCUCCUUGAUCAGGAUACCCACUUAAUCUAGGCAGCUACACAAUUGUGAGAGCCUUUGUUUUUUUCUGCUGAAACAUCCUUAAAAAGAUACCUCACAACCCAAGAUUUGGCUUUUCUUAAAUACGAUUUUUAAUUUUUUUCAUUUCUAUCUAGAGAUUUAAUUGGAAAUGGAAAAUCAUCAAUUUUCCAAUUAAAUGUCUGUUCCAAUCAACAUUAUACCUUUUAGGUUGUCAUUGUCAUUUUUAAGUUUAAGCAACUUUAAGGAUUUUGAAUCUGGCUGCCUGUAAAUUAAAGGUGAAAGUAAUCAUUGUGUUGGAUUGGAACAUUUUGUCAAUUGAGAGUGGUUUCCUUGUUCUUAGUGUAUGAAAAGUUUAUUUUUCUAAUGUAGAUUAAUAAAGGAGAUAAAGAAAAACAAAAUGAGU
rnacentral:lncRNA from 1 species